UUUCCUUGUAGUUGCAGAUACAUUCAUACAAAUGAUGUUGAAGAAACAAAGAGAAAAGGAACUUGGACUGUACCAUUUUGUUUGCAGCUUCUAAGAUAAAGGAGAUAAAUUUCCUCUGUUGACAAAAAAAUGGUUGAGGAGUCAGAAAGUUUGACUGAAGAUUAAGGAUAUCAAAUGAAGAUUAUUAUUGAAAAAAGAGCACUUUGAAGUACUAGGAGAAUUUGAAAACAUCUUGGUGAAAUAGUCUGACUGAUUAUGACAGAACAUCAAAAGAAAUGACGAAAAAGUACACAUCUUAUCAAAAUAGUACUACAUUGUACUAGAAACUAAAAGCUACUUGCAAUUUUCACUGGUUUUGAGAUCAGUAAUAGUCUGACAAGGAAAGAAUUUAAUGAACAUGAUUAUGAUGCCUCUUGAUAAAUAUAAAAACAUAUUGACUGUAAAAUAAUUACCAGUUACCAAUUAUAUCUGUUGUUUACAAAAUUUGUUAUUUGGAAAUAUCUGUUGAAUGUUUUGAAAUUAAAAUGUGUUAACUUAAAUGAUUUAAGAAUUGAAGUCUUUAAAUGAUACAAAAGCAAGGAUACAU